GUAACUUCGGGAGAAGGCACGCUGAUAUGUAGGUGAAGCGACUUGCUCGUGGAGCUGAAAUCAGUCGAAGAUACCAGCUGGCUGCAACUGUUUAUUAAAAACACAGCACUGUGCAAACACGAAAGUGGACGUAUACGGUGUGACGCCUGCCCGGUGCCGGAAGGUUAAUUGAUGGGGUUAGCGGUAACGCGAAGCUCUUGAUCGAAGCCCCGGUAAACGGCGGCCGUAACUAUAACGGUCCUAAGGUAGCGAAAUUCCUUGUCGGGUAAGUUCCGACCUGCACGAAUGGCGUAAUGAUGGCCAGGCUGUCUCCACCCGAGACUCAGUGAAAUUGAACUCGCUGUGAAGAUGCAGUGUACCCGCGGCAAGACGGAAAGACCCCGUGAACCUUUACUAUAGCUUGACACUGAACAUUGAGCCUUGAUGUGUAGGAUAGGUGGGAGGCUUUGAAGUGUGGACGCCAGUCUGCAUGGAGCCGACCUUGAAAUACCACCCUUUAAUGUUUGAUGUUCUAACGUUGGCCCGUAAUCCGGGUUGCGGACAGUGUCUGGUGGGUAGUUUGACUGGGGCGGUCUCCUCCUAAAGAGUAACGGAGGAGCACGAAGGUUGGCUAAUCCUGGUCGGACAUCAGGAGGUUAGUGCAAUGGCAUAAGCCAGCUUGACUGCGAGCGUGACGGCGCGAGCAGGUGCGAAAGCAGGUCAUAGUGAUCCGGUGGUUCUGAAUGGAAGGGCCAUCGCUCAACGGAUAAAAGGUACUCCGGGGAUAACAGGCUGAUACCGCCCAAGAGUUCAUAUCGACGGCGGUGUUUGGCACCUCGAUGUCGGCUCAUCACAUCCUGGGGCUGAAGUAGGUCCCAAGGGUAUGGCUGUUCGCCAUUUAAAGUGGUACGCGAGCUGGGUUUAGAACGUCGUGAGACAGUUCGGUCCCUAUCUGCCGUGGGCGCUGGAGAACUGAGGGGGGCUGCUCCUAGUACGAGAGGACCGGAGUGGACGCAUCACUGGUGUUCGGGUUGUCAUGCCAAUGGCACUGCCCGGUAGCUAAAUGCGGAAGAGAUAAGUGCUGAAAGCAUCUAAGCACGAAACUUGCCCCGAGAUGAGUUCUCCCUGACUCCUUGAGAGUCCUGAAGGAACGUUGAAGACGACGACGUUGAUAGGCCGGGUGUGUAAGCGCAGCGAUGCGUUGAGCUAACCGGUACUAAUGAACCGUGAGGCUUAACCUU
rnacentral:rRNA from 1 species